UACGAAGGGGGCUAGCGUUGUUCGGAAUUACUGGGCGUAAAGCGAACGUAGGCGGUGUUCCAUGUCAGAGGUGAAAGCCUGGGGCUCAACUCCAGAAUUGCCUUUGAAACGGGAACGCUUGAGUCCGAGAGAGGGUGGCGGAAUUCCUAGUGUAGAGGUGAAAUUCGUAGAUAUUCGGAAGAACACCAGUGGCGAAGGCGACUUACUGGACACAUAUUGACGCUGAGGUGCGAAAGCGUGGGGAGCAAACAGG
rnacentral:rRNA from 1 species